AUUUGUUCUUAUAUGCCCAUUCCACUGGGGAAAGUCUUCACAUGCUUGGUGUAGACCAGCACUGGCAAAGUAUUGGCACACAUGCCUAGAUGCUGCUCCCUUCCCCCUCUUCCCCCCAGUGCUCCAGGACAUGUUUUGCAUGCCCCACCCCUCUAUCCAGCAGCACUUCCUCCCUCCCCUCUCUCUGGUAAUGGGCAGGUGAGGCUAACUGUCAGCUUGAAUUUGCCCUCUGGGCACUUAAACUCAAACCUUCACUAAAUCUGGUGUAGACAUUCCGUUUAACUGACUGAAGUGUUUGAGGUUCGUGAGUUACCCUCAGUUGGAUUUAGCUUGUCUGUCAAGAUGGUUUUAUUUUGUUUUUUUUAAACCCUCACCUUCCAUCUCAAAAUCAACACUGUGCAUUAGUUCCAAGGCAGAAGAGUGGUAAGGGCUAGGCAAUGGGGGUUAAGUGACUUGCCCAGGGUCAUCCAGCUAGGAAGUGUCUGAUUUCAGAUUUGAACCCAGGACCUCCUGUCUCUGGGCCUGGUUCUCAAUACAGUGAGCUGAUCAAAUUGCCCCCCAAAGAUGGUUUUGCCUGCCAUAGCUUCUUGGAGUCCCAGGUGAGAGUUGAGUGAAAGGUGGACACCAAAGAGGGAUGAGGAGAGAACUAUGUAUAACAUCCAUAAUUGACAUUAUGUAUUGGGUACCUCUCUGCCUCCCCCCACCCCAUUUUAGGGAAACUAGACUUUUGAGCCAUAACUAGUACUAUUAUUAGCUUUGUCCCAUGAAUCUAGGGAGGGACUUUGUUAGAAAGCCAACGAAUCUGUGAAUGAGGAGUGGGUCAGGCUGCCUAGACCUGAACCCAGGCCACAAACAGUUGAAAAAGCAAUGGCUGAGUUAGGAACACGGACUUCAGUCAAACUGAGCCAACCCUCUUUCUGCUGGCACAAACCCUUCUGCUGCCUCUGCAGGGACAGCACAGCUUAUAUUUGCAGCCCUCCCAGAACCCCCAGAACAUUCUGAGUUUACAAAGUCGUGGCCUUUGCUGGACAUGUCCACCAUGGGCACCAGCUCCCCUAAGAUCAGGAAAGGAGAGGGGGUGUCCAUGAGACCCAUGGCAAGUUGGCCUCGUUACAGCCUCCAGCACCGACUGCCACAUCAGCCGACACAAGGUGGAGUAAGAUCUGGGUACCCCGUGAGCAGAAGCCCAGAGAAAACUAGUUAGAGGAAGUGCUCCUUUUGACACUGCAAUCAAUAGCUUCCCUCACGGGGCAGCGGCCACUUGGAGUAUAUCCAUAGUAGGUCACCGCAUGACCUAAAGUAGCUCCGGAGCCAUCCUGAAGGUGUCUAGGAUCAGAAAAGCAUGUCAGAGCCUUCAUGGAAUUCGUGUUCAAUGUGAGACAACAGCGGGAUGAGGGUGACGAGUCAUGAAAGCCUGACGUCACUUUGGGUGUCAUUCAGAAACCGUGAGAUCUUGGCUUUAGAGCUGGCAGGGUUCUCGGAGAGCCCCAAAUCCUCAUUUUCCUGAUGAGAAGAUGAGAUGGAGGUCAAGAAUAGGAACAUGACUUGGAAUCAUAGAAUCCGAGCUCUAGAGCUGAAAGGAACUUCAGAGGUCAUCAGGUCCAGCGCCCUCGUUGGACACAGGAGGAAACUGAAGCCCAGGGAAGGGACGGGACUUGUCCAAGGCCAUACAGGUAGCAGGCAUCAGAGGUAGGAUUCCAGCCUACUACAGAGUCAGCGCUCCACAGAGGCAUCACACUGCUUCCUCUGUGCCUCAGUCUCCUUAUCCCUAAAUCAAAAGGGUUGAACUAGACAACCAUGAAGGUUCCUUCCAGCUCAGAUAUCCCAUGAUCCUCCAACCUGUGUCUGCAUCACGGGAGAAGGAGGGGGCCCACAAAGGGAAGACUGAGGGAAGAGGAGGGAGAGAUGUUUUCGCUGGGGUCAGGCUCUGGGGAGCAUGAUGAGUUUUGCCUGGGCAAAGUCAGCAAGCUGAACUCCAAAAAGCUCUCCUCAUCCAUUGCUCCUCCUCCUCCUCCUCCUCCUCCUUCUCCUCCUUUUUUUGCAAUUGGAAAUAGCUGGGAGCCCCUGCCAGACACAGGGAAGAAAAGACACAGUCAGUCUGCCUGAGGUCUGCUCAGACACACCCUUGCCUGCAAUUUGGCUAUUGGGGGAGGCCUUCACCACAGGCUGCUGGAGGGGAGAAAAGCAGAUUCCAGCGGCCAGCUCAAGCUGUCUCGCCUGCAGUCCUCUAGGAACGGGAAGAAACAGCCAAGUGAGACUGUCCCGGAAAGCCCAGGGCUUCUGUGGCUAGCCAAUGACCCCUUUGUUCCUUGGAGGCAAGCCUUCCACAUCAAGCAGACUGGGGCUGCCGUACCAAGCCAUCAGCGAGCCCCCAUUGGUCACUGACUUAUGGUUUGAUCUUAGGCCACCCCUCGGCCCACUUUCUGGCUCGCCAAGUAGGCAUAAAGAUUCCCCAAGGCUCCAUCUUCAAGGUGACCCUGUUUUCUCACCCAAACUGCUGCCUACAAGUAUGGCUCGGAUCGGGAUCCUGCCUAGGCCCCUCCCUCUGACAAGAAACAUGUGGGCUGCUUUCCCUGCUUCAGACGGAGAUCAGGGUACGAGGGCUGAGGGGGACUCUCCUAGCAUGCCUAAGAACCUAGAAGGUCCUGAGAUAUUCCAGAGUGCUCCCUCGUUGGCUACCAUGAUGGCACCAUGUUACUGAAGAGAGAGGCAGGGGGUUGUGAAUGCGACGUUAGACGCUCCCGCUGAUCCCGGGUAUUGGCCCAUGGAGAAUCUCUGCACAAUAGACAGUGCCAUCAAAGGGAAGCUGGAGGGACUGUUGUUCUAUAAUCGUUGGCAAGAGGGGGCCACACGCAUUGACAGCCACAUUGAGGAUGAGCCCUUUGAGGACGAGUAAUGGAGCCACUUCCACACAGAUUUCACCCCUACAGUAUGCUGAAACAGACACAUGACAGGAGAUGGCUGGGCAUUGGGACCCGAUGAACCCCGAGGUCUUUGUGGGGACAUCAAGGGCACUGACAGCAUAUCUCCUUAAUAUGGCAUCGCCACGGACACACCAGAGAGCCUUUGGCGCCACAUUGUUGAUGACUGAGAUCAUGUUCCUCAGCAACGUCCUUGGGAGGAUAGUCCCAAGAGACAACCCCAGACAUCUGUGCCCUCUAGGGAGCUCUACGAGCCAGGGAAUGGCAGAGGAAGGAGACCUUGGUGAAGUGAUGAGUUCUUUGUCCAAGACAGGAUCCUGGGGCUACCAGACAGUGAGGAUGUUGGUGGGAGAACCACAGGGGAGCUUUGGAAUCAAGUCUUCUGGACCAAGCAGGAACCAAAGCUGAGGCCCAGGCAGGGACAGAGCCAUAGUACAGACCUCACCAAUCACGAGUACUGUGAAUUAUGUGAACUGUGCAGGGCAGGUUCUUUCUUGACGCUGCUUACUUUCCCUCUUGUGGAUGUCUACGGGUCGGGAGAUGUCUUGGGAGGGAGGCGGGGAAAAGGAAAGCCCCAAGGGUAAGUACUAGAAGUCUGGCAAGUUGCAUGAGUCCAUGGGACUGGACCUACGAGAGGGUGGUCGAGCCUGCAGCUGGAUUCUCUAACUCUCCUUGGAUGGGUGGGUGGGAGCAGAGCACCAUGUGGGACGGAAUGGAACUUUCAGUGGGUCUGUGAUCUCAUCAGUUUAGAGACUCACUCCGUUCACCAAGAUGGUGACCCAAUGGUACCAGUACUCUCAUGAGGCCAUAAAUCAGUGUGAUCUCAGGCAACCCACAAGGCAACCAAGAGAUGCAUGGCACUUGUAUGAAUGUGAGUGCCAGUGCUGAGAACAAGAUCUGGUGUGGCCCAAUGUCAAUAGGAUGGACUGUGUGUCUAAGGAAGAGACGCCCAUUAUUAGAAGCCUGACUGCUCAGCGAUGAGCUCCUUGGUCAUAAGUCCUAUGAAACCGGUUCUUUAACAAACUGCCUCUGUGGUCCCGAUGGAAAGUCAAACUCCCCUUGAGCUCCCUUGAAAGAUGUGUACUGCCCUUUCUUUCCUCCAUCCCCUGGGCACCUGCCUCUCCUUACUCCCCAAAACAAGUAAGUGCCAUGGGAUACAGGCCAAAACUUAUUGGGAAAAAGGGUCGCCACAGAAGAGGGGAGGAAGGGGGAACUGAGCUCUUGGUGGGGCUGGGGUUUCCUAGAAGGCAGAGGGGAGGAGGCCAGUUUCCAGGUCAGCCUCCAAGUGGCUGGAGAGGGACAAGAAGGGAAGUGGUGGCAUCCUCCCUUUGUGAUCUAUAAUUAGCCUUUCCACCACCUGCGCAGGCCAUGAGCAUGACUCAAGGCUCUACUCUCCCCACCACCACCCCCCCAACAUACUUCAGGACCUGCUCUUGGAUUUUUUUCAAGAUCAGAGGAUUCCAGAGAAUUCAGAGCAGGAAGAAAAAUGAAAUGAGGAAACUGAGGCCUAGAAACGGGAAGAGCCCAAAGACCACACAUAGUAAGUAGCAGAGAUAGACUACGAACCCAGACGGUCCAAGGGCUAGUGUAGUGUAAACUUGGUUCGGACGAGCCUUUGGAUAGUAGCUCGCGGCCCUGGGGUUUCAAGCAGGCAACUGCAAUGAGGUAUGCCAGCUGAGUCAGAGAGAAGCUCCCAGUCCUACCAUUGAGGAGCCGUGGCUCCCGAACCAGGCCCGGCAAGCCUUGGGUGUCUCCAGAGCCAAGAGCAGUUGUAAAAUUCUUCACAUUCUCCAAAUCGAGUACGCUUGGAUUCCCAAGGCAGACCCAGAUGUCCCUUAUUUCGCACAAGCUGCCAAGAGCAGUUGUACAAUUCUUCACAUUCUUCAGAUCUGAAUCCCCAAGGCAGACCCAGAUGUCCCUUAUUUCACGCACAAAGCCAUGUGCCUGAGCCAUUAUGGGCUGUCUAAACUCUGGUGAAUCAGAUCCUGCCUCGGGGGCCCCUGCAAGAUUGCUACUGAGAAAUUCUCUGGCGGAUCUUUCGGGUCCACUCAAUGCGUUGGUUGCCUGGUGGGUAAAUAAAAUGCCUUUAGGAGAACUUCAGGCAGCAUGGCUUCAAGGUUGGGGUCCUUUAGGACAUUUUGAGGCGUAUGUCCAAUAAUGGGGGUGGUCUUUGAUAAGGUCAACCAUGUUCUCUCUGAAGGAGCUUAUGGUCUGGUUGGGGAAACAAGAGACUUGAGAUAGCAUACCAGAAAGGGUGCUAAAUAAAGACCUGGGUUUGAAUCCUGCCUUACAUAGCAACAAUGAUGACGAUGGCAAUAGGAGGUAACAUUUCUAUCUCUCUGAAUCUCCCUUUCCUCAUUGGUAAAGUGAGGUAGCUGAGUAUUUAUUUAUUUGGUACCCAUUCUGUGGGGGAAAUAACAGCACCCCCACACACACAAGGUUAUUGUGAUCAACUGAUAUUGUGCCUUCAAAUUCUCUGCAAACCUUGAAAUGUUAUAGAAGUGUGAGCUUUUGGGGCAGCUGGGUAACUCAGUGGAUUGAGAGCCAGGCCUAGAGACGGGAGGUCCUGGGUUCAAAUCUGGCCUCAGCCACUUCCUAGCUGGGUGACCCUGGGCAAGUCACUUGACCCCCAUUGCCUAGCCCUUACCGCUCUUCUGCCUUAGAGCCAAUACACAGUAUUGAUUCCAAGACGGAAGGUGAGGGUUUAAAAAAAGAAGUGUGAGCUCUUAUUACUAUGUGACAGAAUUAGCAAAGACUAUAGCAUAAUAUGCAGUAUCAGGCUGCAAGACUAAGGCAUCGCUCAUACACAGGGUGUAGUGGAUUGCCAUGGACUAGAGUAAAUUAUGAGAAGCUUUGGGCAAGGUUUGCCUCACAUCCUAAGCAUCUUCUUCACCACCACACCGCGCUGCCCACCGCCCACCCACUACUGGAUUUCUGUCCUUCCCUCUAUGACCAUAGAUGUCAGAGGAAAGGGUCUUAGAGAUCAUCUACUCCAGCCCCAAGGCACAGAAAAAUGAAGAAAUGAAGUGAUUAGUCCAAGGCCAUGUAGGGGAAUAUGUUGGCAGAGACUAGACUCAAAAGUAGGCCUCCUGCCCCUCAGCCUGGUAUUUUUCCACUGUCUAGACCACACUGCCUCUUCUGUCCCAGGCUUCUCCAGUGUCCCUCCCUCAUUCGCACUUCUGUUCCCUGGGGCCCCCACUAAACUGUGGUUAGCUGCUGAGGGAAGCCCUGGCCCAGCUUCCCAAGUUCUAGGGGUGAGGGGAGGAGGUUGAGCUGGAACAGGGCCAAGCCACAGGGGAUGGCUGAUGCCCAGCCAAGGGUGAAGCCCAGAGACUAGGACUGGCCCCAGACAGAGGCAGCCAUGGCCAUCGCCUGCAAAAUAACAUGGUUGAGGUUUCUCCUCCUUUGGGGUUUCUCAACUGUUUUCUUUUCUAUUAUGCCUUUGUGUUUUCUACACACACACACACACACACACACACACACACACACACACACACACACACACACAACCCCUACCCCUUCCUUUUCUUUUUUUUUCAAUAAUACUAGGAUGCAGGCUUGGCAGUGAAGCCAUGGUGGUAGGAUUGUACCAAGCCAAAUUGUGAAGUCAGCAAGUUUAGGGUGACCUCGUUGGGAUUUCCCACCCCCAUGGUGGCCAUUGAUCUCAUGCUGCCCCUCAUGGGUGUCCCUUCUCCUCUGCAGGCUCCAUUGGCCUCUUCUAUAAAAGGAGAGGAUUAAGGGGGAAAUCCAUGAACUAAAAUGCUCCAGUUGGCCUGGAUGAUCUCUAGGGCCCUUCUAGCUUGGACAUGCUCUGCCCUCUUUGAGAAUAGAGAUGAAGGAGCAAUGGCAGUUAGCAUCAUCCAGUCUUCCAGAGAGGACCUGAAGCAACCCAUGCCCCAUGAAAUCAAGAUCUGACUCCUUCCUUUGGACUCCUUUCAUGCAGUGGGAAUUGGAGACCUUUCGCCAUCCUUCUUGUCCUCCUGGAGGAACUUUCAUCUGAUCAGUGACCCUCUGGGAACAUGGUGCCAGGGCCUAGCUACAAUCCCCCACAUGAGGAGCACAGGCUUCCCUGCCAGUGCAGCCCGAGAGACUUGACAGAGCAUAAGAGAAACAGCUGAAGAAAGGCCGGGGUCGGAAUCCUGCCAUCUUACAUGACAACAGUAUGGAACGUUUAUAUAGCUCUGAGCCCCCACUCUGCUUCCGAGGGCAUUUCCUCAACUGUAUUCCAAAACCAAAUGAUGGGAGUAUCUGUGUACCCAUGCCAUUAAAUGCCCAGCACAAGACAA